CCUAGUUUUCUGCUCUGUUCCCCUGUAUCCAAUCUUAAUGCCCAGAUGCAGGUACUGUCUCAGUGCAAUGCACCUGGGCAAGGAUUCACAGAAGAUAAGUGUCUUCUGCACAGAGAAG
rnacentral:precursor_RNA from 8 species